UACGUAGGGCGCAAGCGUUAUCCGGAAUUAUUGGGCGUAAAGAGCUCGUAGGCGGUUUGUCGCGUCUGCCGUGAAAGUCCGGGGCUCAACCCCGGAUCUGCGGUGGGUACGGGCAGACUAGAGUGAUGUAGGGGAGACUGGAAUUCCUGGUGUAGCGGUGAAAUGCGCAGAUAUCAGGAGGAACAUCGAUGGCGAAGGCAGGUCUCUGGGCAUUAACUGACGCUGAGGAGCGAAAGCAUGGGGAGCGAACAGG
rnacentral:rRNA from 1 species